GAGGGUAUAGCUCAGUGGUAGAGUGUGUGCUUAGCAUGCAAGAGGUCCUGGGUUCAAUCCCCAGCACCCCUG
rnacentral:tRNA from 1 species